GAUGAAUGCUGGCGGCGUGCCUAACACAUGCAAGUCGAGCGGCAGCGUGGGGUGCUUGCACCCUGUCGGCGAGCGGCGAACGGCUGAGUAACGCGUAGGAAUUUGCCCCAAAGUGAGGAAUAACUGCCCGAAAGGGUAGCUAAUGCCGCAUAUGGUCUUCGGAUUUAAGGAUUUAUACGCUUUGGGAGCAGCCUGCGUUGGAUUAGGUCGUUGGUAGGGUAAUGGCCUACCUAGCCGACGAUCCAUAGCUGGUCUGAGAGGAUGAUCAGCCAGACUGGAACAUAGACUCAGGCCAGACUCGUACGGGGGGCAGCAGUGAGGAAUCUUCCACAAUGGGCGAAAACCUGAUGGAGCAACGCCGCGUGAAGAAUGAAGGCGUUCGGGUUGUAAUCUUCUUUUAUGGGUGAAGAAUAUGACGGUAACUCAUGAAUAAGCACCGGCUAACUACGUG
rnacentral:rRNA from 1 species